GGCGCUGUGGCUUAGUGGGUUAAAGCCCCAGCCUGCAGCGCUGGCAUUCCAUAUGGGCGCUGGUUCUAAUCUUGGCUGUUCCU
rnacentral:tRNA from 1 species